rnacentral:rRNA from 1 species
CCUACGGGCGGCAGCAGUGAGGAAUAUUGGUCAAUGGCCGUAAGGCUGAACCAGCCAAGUAGCGUGAGGGAAGACUGCCCUAUGGGUUGUAAACCUCUUUUAUGCGGGGAUAAAGGUGUCCACGCGUGCCUUUUUGUAUGUACUUUAUGAAUAAGGAUCGGCUAACUCCGUGCCAGCAGCCGCGGUAAUACGGAGGAUCCGAGCGUUAUCCGGAUUUAUUGGGUGUAAAGGGAGCGUAGGUGGGUUGUUAAGUCAGUUGUGAAAGUUUACGGCUCAACCGUGAAAUUGCAAUUGAUACUGGCUGUCUUGAGUACUGUUGAGGUAGUCGGAAUUCGUGGUGUAGCGGUGAAAUGCUUAGAUAUCACGAAGAACACCAGUUGCGAAGGCAGCUUACUAAACUGCCACUGACAUUGAUGCUCGAAAGUGUGGGUAGCAAACAGGAUUAGAUACCCUAGUAGUC